CACGUAAGGGGCGAGCGUUGUUCGGAUUUAUUGGGCGUAAAGGGCGUGUAGGCGGUGAGAUAAGUUUGGUGUGAAAGACCCCGGCUCAACCGGGGGGACGCGCUGAAAACUGUCUUACUAGAGUAGUGGAGGGGGAACUGGAAUUCCUGGUGUAGGGGUGAAAUCUGUAGAGAUCAGGAAGAACACCGGAGGCGAAGGCGAGUUCCUGGCCAUUUACUGACGCUGAGGCGCGAAAGCGUGGGGAGCGAACAGGAUUAGAUACCCGCGUA
rnacentral:rRNA from 1 species